rnacentral:rRNA from 1 species
AUUGAACGCUGGCGGCAUGUCUAACACAUGCAAGUCGAACGAGUGGCGGACGGGUGAGUAAUGUCUGGGAAACUGCCUGAUGGAGGGGGAUAACUACUGGAAACGGUAGCUAAUACCGCAUACCAUCGGAUGUGCCCAGAUGGGAUUUGCUAGUAGGUGGGGGAAAGGCUCACCUAGGCGACGAUCCCUCGCGGGUCUGAGAGGUUGACCACCCACACUGGAACGGAGAAGCGGUCCAGACUCCUACGUGAGGCAGCAGUGGGGAAUAUUGCACAAUGGGCGCAAGCCUGAAGCAGCCAUCCCGCGUGGAUGAAGAAGGCCUUCGGGUUGUAAAGUUCUUUCAUCGGGGAGGCGUUACCCGCAGAGGAAGCACCGGCUAACUCCGUGCCAGCAGCCGCGGUAAUAC